rnacentral:rRNA from 1 species
GACGAACGCUGGCGGCGUGCUUAACACAUGCAAGUCGAACGGAAAGGCCCCUUUGGCGGUACUCGAGUGGCGAACGGGUGAGUAACACGUGUGUAACAUGCCCUUGACUUCGGGAUAACUUCCGGAAACUGGGGCUAAUACCGGAUAGGAAUCCUUGCUGCAUGGUGGGGGUUGGAAAGCUUCGGGGGUUUUGGAUGGACUCGCGGCUUAUCAGCUUGUUGGUGGGGUAGUGGCUUACCAGGGCUUUGACGGGUAGCCGGACUGUGAGGGCGACAGGCCACAUUGAGACUGAGGGGAGGCCCAGGCUGGGACGGGAGGGAGCAGUGGGAAAUAUUGCAGAAGGAGCGGAGGGCGGAUGCAGCAAGGCCGCGGGCGGGAUAACGGCCUUCGGGUGGAAAACGGCUUGCAGCAGGAGAGAAGCUUGUGGUGACGGUACCUGCAGAAGAAGCACCGGCUAACUACGUG